CCACAUUUAAUGUUUAUUACAUGUUUUCAUUUUUAUCCGGAACAAAUUGAACUGGACCGUUUUCUUAAAUCACCGCAUUUAUCGACCACCUUUAAUUUAUGUGACACCGUCCGCUUCAAUAUUUCAACGCAUGGAAAAUGGACGACUUUUCUACUUUCUGAGGAAAUCGAGACAUACCACUGUCAAGUACGUUUGAUUCAUUCAUAAACUGUGAUAAAUUAUUCUGUUUAACUCCGAUAUUUUUAGAUAAGUGAUUUAUAAAUACAUACGAACUGUAAGUUAUUUAUUUCCGAGAAAUGAACUGUAAAUUCUACUUUCGUUUUUGACACGAUUAAUAAUCUUGUAUUUAACUUUCAUAUUUAAUUCGUACACAUUGUAAAAUAUUGUAUUUUUAUUUCUUUCAGUUUACCAAUCUACUGACUACUUGUAACCUUUCUGGUGGAAUAUAUUAAUUACAAUUUAUCAAACAAGUUGUGUUCGUUAUAUAUUCAUCGAGAUUGCGAUUGCAGUCACCUGGUUAAACUAGUUGAGUCCGGCUCAGCAUAGUAAAUUGACAACAACUUGUCUACACAUCUCCUGAACAGGAAAUACAACGGAGCAUCGUUCGUAGCUGUUACCUUGACACUACGCAACACAGCUUGUGCGUCCUAGGCAGCAAACCAACAACGUUGAACUAACACUGCCUACAAAUAGUUGAUUUACAUCAUGGAUCUCAGUCACAAGGAACAACAAGAAGAA
rnacentral:lncRNA from 1 species